GACGAACGCUGGCGGCGUGCUUAACACAUGCAAGUCGAACGGAAAGGCCCUGCUUUUGUGGGGUGCUCGAGGGGCGAACGGGUGAGUAACACGUGAGUAACCUGCCCUUGACUUUGGGAUAACUUCAGGAAACUGGGGCUAAUACCGGAUAGGAGCUCCUGCUGCAGGGUGGGGGUUGGAAAGUUUCGGCGGUUGGGGAUGGACUCGCGGCUUAUCAGCUUGUUGGUGGGGGAGGGGCUUACCAAGGCUUUGACGGGUAGCCGGCCUGAGAGGGUGACCGGCCACAUUGGGACUGCGAUACGGCCCAGACUCCUACGGGAGGCAGCAGUGGGGAAUAUUGCACAAUGGGCGGAAGCCUGAUGCAGCAACGCCGCGUGCGUGAUGACGGCCUUCGGGUUGUAAACCGCUUUCGCCUGUGACGACGCUUUAGUGACGGUAAUGGGUAAAGAAGCACCGGCUAACUACGUG
rnacentral:rRNA from 1 species